UACGUAGGGGGCUAGCGUUGUCCGGAUUUAUUGGGCGUAAAGAGCGUGUAGGCGGCCAGAUAGGUCCGUUGUGAAAACUGGAGGCUUAACCUCCAGCUGUCGAUGGAAACCAUCUGGCUAGAGUCCGGAAGAGGAGAGUGGAAUUCCUGGUGUAGCGGUGAAAUGCGCAGAUAUCAGGAGGAACACCAAUUGCGAAGGCAGCUCGCUGGGGACGUUACUGACGCUGAGACGCGAAAGCGUGGGGAGCAAACAGG
rnacentral:rRNA from 1 species